CCUACGGGAGGCAGCAGUGGGGAAUUUUGGACAAUGGACGCAAGUCUGAUCCAGCCAUGCCGCGUGUGGGAAGAAGGCCUUCGGGUUGUAAACCACUUUUGUCAGGGAAGAAACGGCCUGGGUUAAUACCUUGGGCUAAUGACGGUACCUGAAGAAUAAGCACCGGCUAACUACGUGCCAGCAGCCGCGGUAAUACGUAGGGUGCAAGCGUUAAUCGGAAUUACUGGGCGUAAAGCGUGCGCAGGCGGUUAUGCAAGACAGAUGUGAAAUCCCCGGGCUCAACCUGGGAACUGCAUUUGUGACUGCAUGGCUAGAGUACGGUAGAGGGGGAUGGAAUUCCGCGUGUAGCAGUGAAAUGCGUAGAUAUGCGGAGGAACACCGAUGGCGAAGGCAAUCCCCUGGACCUGUACUGACGCUCAUGCACGAAAGCGUGGGGAGCAAACAGGAUUAGAUACCCUGGUAGUCCACGCCCUAAACGAUGUCAACUGGUUGUUGGGAGGGUUUCUUCUCAGUAACGUAGCUAACGCGUGAAGUUGACCGCCUGGGGAGUACGGCCGCAAGGUUGAAACUCAAAGGAUUGACGG
rnacentral:rRNA from 1 species